GCCUCAGCCAGUGCCGCCUUCGCAAGCGCUUGUUUCAAAACUCCUCCUCAGAAGGCGCGUUAUUGUAGGAAACUUUUGCUUCGAGACCGGAACGUCCCGAGGCAAAGAUGACACCCCAUAAUAAAUCUGAGUGUCUUCAUCAGCUGCUGCCAGGCUACACCCAGACAAGCCAUCUGCCACCCAGGAAACUACAUACUGACGUACAUGGAAGCUUAUCAGACUGUUUUGGCAGACCCUCCAGUUUAACCAAGCGCCGUACUGCCAGACGCCAUGUUUAUCACCAGCAUCUCCAUCACCAGCACACCCAUCAGGCUAUAAGUCCAAAAGGAGUCAGCCUCAUCUGUACAUUAUAAAUAGCAGCAUCAAAACUCCCUGAUGCCUUGUGGAGCAGUCUGGCAGCCACCGCUGUGCCCAGCCCAGCACGUCGGAGGCCAGGAGGGCUAUGUUAUAGAAUCACAGGAUGGUUAGAGUUGGAAGGUGCCUUAAAGAUCACCUAGUUCCAACCCCAUGGGCAGG